CUAAAGGCAAUGCCUUCAUCUUGGUAGAGUUUUGUCCGAUACAUACUGGACAUAUAAAAGCAUUUGACACAUAAGGUGCAUCACCUUGAUACUGGCGCGGCUGUGGUAACAAUAGCGCAUUUCCUGACGAAAAUAGGAGAUACCAUAAAUCACUAUCUAAUCUUGAACGCGCUUCACACGGUAUCCACAAGCCAGCUCUGGAGGAGCAUGAACUUGAUUGUAGUGUAGCUAAUGCACAACCCCUGAACAUUCCUUUUUCAACUAUUGUCGUGCCCACGGACAUGCCCACCUGCACCCUGUAAUUCAAUCAACUGAUCAGAGGUUAUAAUGUAAAAACAAAUUAAGGUCACAUUUAUAUUCAAAUACGUCAUCUUCUUUAGCAUACUAUACUUUCCUUUAUCUAAGAAAACCAUGUGAUACUACACAAUCUGUAGAGAAAAGGAACACCAACAAAUUCCAGUUCAUGACAAGUAGAUAGUUUGGUAGACAGAAAGACUCAUCCGACACGGAUCAUAAUAUAAUUUGCAGAAACAUAUGUAGAUUCAACGUCCUAUAUCGGAAUAAAUAAUAAGUAUAGAAGAAAUUGUUAAGGUUUCUACAUGCAGCAUGGAUGCAAAGAGUUCGCUGUUAGUUACAUACAUGUCAAAGGUUUCUUCCCUAUUUAAAACAUGCCCAUAAAUGCAAGCCAAUCCAAAGUCCAAGCAGUGCCUUGCAUGCAUAUACCGCAAUAGAGCAUUAACCAUGUGCUUCCAUAUAAUCAGGCUUGCCUGACAAAAGUAAAAAACAUUCAGAGGAAAAUCAAAUCACCAUUCGAAAUUAUUAAAGACACUUUCUCAUCAUUCAAAUGCUUGAUUUGCCCUAUCCAGGAGCAGCAAUACAUAAACUGAGCCCUUGCAAGCUAAGAACUUAAUCCUCCUCACAAGAAUAUCAGUUCUUCACAGCAAGAAAUUAACCCCACAAAUUACAAUCAAAAACUGAAUACUUGCAAAUAAAAAUCAAAACUGAAUGCCCUGCAGAACAUGUUACAUAUGCUCAAAACAGAUAACCAAAUCGACAAGAUAGUAGGUUAAUCUAUCAGGGGGAAGAAGUGGGUGGAUCAACUUAUGGGGAUUGAGAUACCAGUGUCUUGGGGUCUCGAUUGCAGGGAGUCAAAGGCAAGUGAGGUGGCUGACUGGAGAACAUUUGUGAUAUUUGUUAGACCAAAAAAAAAGUUUCAGAUCAGUCAAGUCAUUCCCAAUGAAGAUGAGUCAAACCAAACGAAUCAACGCCUCCAUUUUGCAAUCUCAAUCUGGUCGAAUAGUAUACUGCAAUAUAUAGUGAACAAACUAACUAACUUGAGAUUCAUGGGAAUUUCAGAUAGAAGUGUAUGAAUACGGAAGUAGGAUCCAGUGAUGAAUUUGUACCUUUGAGGCUACCUCCUCAACCAUAUGUUGUUGAUUUGACAUCUUUUGGUAUACUCAGAAAUCUUCAACUCUAGUUCUUCUAAGACCUACAAAAUGAUAAUUUGACUCAGUGAAAUAGUGGUGGUUCUUGACAUUGCUUAUCAACUGGGGGUCACAAGACGGCAAGAUAGAUCACCAUUUAAGGAACUAUAUUGGUGCUAGAAGCCCGCACCCACUAAAUAAUACAACUGACAAGAACAUCAAAUUGGAUGCACUUACAGGGGGUAAAUUGAUUGUAUUUAGGCAUCUGCAGGAUAAAGCUUGCACUCUGAAAAAAAAUUAUGCCUGUUUCUCUGAAAUGGAAUCUGAAAGUUGUACGUCCUUUGCUAACUGUUCUUGAACACUGCCAGGUAGCACUUUUCAGAUAAUUUAUGUUUCAUAUGCCCCAAUAGUAAGGUUAAAACAUCAUCUGCUACUUUCUGUAUAAUGAACAUUUUCUAUCAAAUAAUUAUUUCUGCUUACAGUGCUUGACAAUGUUUAACCGAAAAUGCAAGGAGGAACAUAUCGAUCAGGUUGAUGGCUGUAUACUUAAAACACAGUCUCCUACUUCCUCUGAAGUUUUGCUAAUUCCCUCACCAGAUUCAGAAAUCACAACCCACCUCAGUUUUCUAUUUAUAAACAACCGGUGGAACUGCACGUACAUGGCCAAAACCAAGAUUUCAAGUAAUCUAAUUCAACAUGGUUCUCAUUGAGAAAAAUAACGUACACGCGAGCUCCAGAUUCUGGGUCCCCAGCAAAAAAAAAGAUUGCAUGUCGAUGAGCGCCUGCGGUGCACGAGGAAACAACGGUGGUGAUGCUUCAGUCUUUAGCACACCUCCAGAUACGCUCAGAUCAAACCUGAAAAUGCUAAAUUGAGAACAUAAAACUGAGCACACCUCCAGAUCACAUCGAGUCAAUCAAAUAAAUAUACUACCCAAAUAAAGCUUGUAUUGUAGUCAUACAUAAAGCAAAACUAUUUGGAGUUGCGUCUUCUAUGAACUUCAUUAGACUAAACGGGAAAACAACAACUCCCUGUUUCAAUGAGUACCUAAUAAAAUAAAAUAGCCUACCUUGAUGAACAUAAUAACCUGAGGUGGUGUGACAUCCAGAUCGUGGUGGGCGCCCAUGCGAUGAGUACGUCGUCAAGUGGAUGGAGAUGGUGUUAAGGUUGGCGCGUCCGCGCAUGGAGUGGAUCGGCGGUGGUCGCAUCUAGGCAGUGAACGCCAUGUGAGGAGUGGGGCGUGGCAGAGGAGGAUUACACGCAGUCCAGUUCCCUUGAGCAAGAUGUGGUAGCGGCUUGUCUAGAUCGAGUGGAUCUGGCGGGUGAGGUAGCUCGCGGCGACGGAGUGAGGGAGGCGGAGGACGUGAUGAAGGGCGGCGGCGGCGGCUCCUGCUCCCUCGGCGACGCGGCGCGCAGCAUGGCAGGCAGGAUUCCGAGGUCACGGGGCCUCCUGCUCCCUCGUGGCACGGCGGCGCGGCAUGCUGCGGGCGGCACAAGGCCGGGGGCGCGGCGGCUCCUGCCUGAACCCUGGGUGGCACGGCGGCGGCUGGGAGGGACUGCGGGGAUGAGUGAUUUUCCUUUUGAAGUGUAACUGGGGUGCGUGAUUACAGGAGAUGGUUGCGUGAUUAUCCGAGGGUGUGUGAUUUCUUUUUUGCGUGCCUCCCAUCAUGAUUAUGGGGAUUUGUUUG
rnacentral:lncRNA from 1 species